rnacentral:rRNA from 1 species
UACGGAGGGUGCAAGCGUUAAUCGGAAUUACUGGGCGUAAAGCGUGCGUAGGCGGUUCGUUAAGUCUGUUGUGAAAGCCCCGGGCUCAACCUGGGAAUGGCAAUGGAUACUGGCGAGCUAGAGUGUGUCAGAGGAUGGUGGAAUUCCCGGUGUAGCGGUGAAAUGCGUAGAGAUCGGGAAGAACACCAGUGGCGAAAGCGCUCUACUGGGCCUCAUCUGACACUGAGGGACGAAAGCUAGGGGAGCGAACAGG